rnacentral:rRNA from 1 species
UUAAGCGACUAAGCGUACACGGUGGAUGCCCUGGCAGUCAGAGGCGAUGAAGGACGUGCUAAUCUGCGAAAAGCGUCGGUAAGGUGAUAUGAACCGUUACAACCGGCGAUGUCCGAAUGGGGAAACCCAGUGCAAUUCGUCACACUAUCGUUAACUGAAUACAUAGGUUAACGAGGCGAACCGGGGGAACUGAAACAUCUAAGUACCCCGAGGAAAAGAAAUCAACCGAGAUUCCCCCAGUAGCGGCGAGCGAACGGGGAGCAGCCCAGAGUCUGAAUCAGCUUGUGUGUUAGUGGAACGGUCUGGAAAGUCCGACGGUACAGGGUGAUAGUCCCGUACACCAAAAUGCACAGGCUGUGAACUCGAAGAGUAGGGCGGGACACGUGGUAUCCUGUCUGAAUAUGGGGGGACCAUCCUCCAAGGCUAAAUACUCCUGACUGACCGAUAGUGAACCAGUACCGUGAGGGAAAGGCGAAAAGAACCCCGGCGAGGGGAGUGAAAAAGAACCUGAAACCGUGUACGUACAAGCAGUGGGAGCACCUUCGGGUGUGACUGCGUACCUUUUGUAUAAUGGGUCAGCGACUUAUAUUCUGUAGCAAGGUUAACCGUAUAGGGGAGCCGCAGGGAAACCGAGUCUUAACUGGGCGUUAAGUUGCAGGGUAUAGACCCGAAACCCGGUGAUCUAGCCAUGGGCAGGUUGAAGGUUGGGUAACACUAACUGGAGGACCGAACCGACUAAUGUUGAAAAAUUAGCGGAUGACUUGUGGCUGGGGGUGAAAGGCCAAUCAAACCGGGAGAUAGCUGGUUCUCCCCGAAAGCUAUUUAGGUAGCGCCUCGUGAACUCAUCUUCGGGGGUAGAGCACUGUUUCGGCUAGGGGGUCAUCCCGACUUACCAACCCGAUGCAAACUACGAAUACCGAAGAAUGUUAUCACGGGAGACACACGGCGGGUGCUAACGUCCGUCGUGAAGAGGGAAACAACCCAGACCGCCAGCUAAGGUCCCAAAGUCAUGGUUAAGUGGGAAACGAUGUGGGAAGGCACAGACAGCCAGGAUGUUGGCUUAGAAGCAGCCAUCAUUUAAAGAAAGCGUAAUAGCUCACUGGUCGAGUCGGCCUGCGCGGAAGAUGUAACGGGGCUAAACCAUGCACCGAAGCUGCGGCAGCGACACUAUGUGUUGUUGGGUAGGGGAGCGUUCUGUAAGCCUGCGAAGGUGUGCUGUGAGGCAUGCUGGAGGUAUCAGAAGUGCGAAUGCUGACAUAAGUAACGAUAAAGCGGGUGAAAAGCCCGCUCGCCGGAAGACCAAGGGUUCCUGUCCAACGUUAAUCGGGGCAGGGUGAGUCGACCCCUAAGGCGAGGCCGAAAGGCGUAGUCGAUGGGAAACAGGUUAAUAUUCCUGUACUUGGUGUUACUGCGAAGGGGGGACGGAGAAGGCUAUGUUAGCCGGGCGACGGUUGUCCCGGUUUAAGCAUGUAGGCUGAUUAUCCAGGCAAAUCCGGAUAACCAAGGCUGAGGUGUGAUGACGAGGCACUACGGUGCUGAAGUAACAAAUGCCCUGCUUCCAGGAAAAGCCUCUAAGCAUCAGGUAACAUCAAAUCGUACCCCAAACCGACACAGGUGGUCAGGUAGAGAAUACCAAGGCGCUUGAGAGAACUCGGGUGAAGGAACUAGGCAAAAUGGUGCCGUAACUUCGGGAGAAGGCACGCUGGUGUGUAGGUGAAGUCCCUGCGGAUGGAGCUGAGACCAGUCGAAGAUACCAGCUGGCUGCAACUGUUUAUUAAAAACACAGCACUGUGCAAACACGAAAGUGGACGUAUACGGUGUGACGCCUGCCCGGUGCCGGAAGGUUAAUUGAUGGGGUUAUCCGUAAGGAGAAGCUCUUGAUCGAAGCCCCGGUAAACGGCGGCCGUAACUAUAACGGUCCUAAGGUAGCGAAAUUCCUUGUCGGGUAAGUUCCGACCUGCACGAAUGGCGUAAUGAUGGCCAGGCUGUCUCCACCCGAGACUCAGUGAAAUUGAACUCGCUGUGAAGAUGCAGUGUACCCGCGGCAAGACGGAAAGACCCCGUGAACCUUUACUAUAGCUUGACACUGAACAUUGAGCCUUGAUGUGUAGGAUAGGUGGGAGGCUUUGAAGCGUGGACGCCAGUCUGCGUGGAGCCAACCUUGAAAUACCACCCUUUAAUGUUUGAUGUUCUAACGUUGGCCCCU